CCAGGGAGCCCCUUGGAUUCCCAUCCCAGCCCCACAGUUGCACCCCAUCCCCAGAGAUCCCAUCCCAGCCCCUCAGAGUCCUCCAUUCUCACAGAUCCCAGCCCAGCCCUGGCUCCCCCCAGUCCCCCCACUCUGGUUGUACCAGCCCCGUCUCCAGGGAACUGUCAGCCACGGGCCGGGUCCUGUCCUUGAGCCAGGGCUGGAUAUCCCAAUAUCCCAGUUCUGGCUCUCCCAAUAUCCCAGCUCUGCCUAUCCCUGUAUCCCAGUCCUUGGUACCCCAGUAUCCCAGCCCUGGCUAUCCCAAUAUCCCAGCUCUGGCUAUCUCUGUAUCCCAGCUCUGGCCAUCCCAAUAUCCCAGUUCUGGCUAUCCAAAUAUCCCGGCUCUGGCUUUGCCAAUAUCCCAGCCCUGGCCAUCCCAAUAUCCCAGCUCUGGCUAUCCCAAUGUCCCAACUUUGGCUAUACCAAUAUCCCGGCCCUGGCUGUCUCAAUAUCCCAGCUCCACCUAUCCCAACAUCCUGGCUCUGGCUAUCCCAGUAUCCCAGCUCUGGCUUUCCCAGUAUCCCAGCCCUGGCUAUCCCAAUAUCCCAGCUCUAGCUAUCCCAAUAUCCCGGCUCUGGCUACCCCAAUGUUCCAGCCCUGCCUACCCCAAUAUCUCAGCUCUGGCCAUCCCAGCUCUGGCUAUCCCGAUAUCAGGGCUCUGGCUCUCACAGUAUCCCAGCUCUGGCCAUCCCAAUAUCCCAGUUCUGGCUCUCCCAAUAUCCCAGCCCUGGCCAUCCCAAUAUCCUAGCCCUGGCCAUCCCAAUAUCCCAGCUAUGGCUAUUCCAAUAUCCAAGCUCAGCUCCUCCCAGCAUUCCUGCUUUCUGUGGCUCCAUCUGGCCCUGCUCGCUGCCCCAGCGCUCCCAGGGGGUCCCAUCCACAUCCUCCACAAUCAAGGACUUGGGACCCCCGGGUUGGGCUCUGACAGUGCCACUUCCCAGUACUGUAGGGAGGGGAGAACAGGGCGACAUGGAGAUUUGAGGGGGCUGGGGGACUGAAAGUGAGAGUUUUGGAUCCGGG
rnacentral:lncRNA from 1 species